rnacentral:lncRNA from 1 species
CCUAAUCCUUACAUUUUCAGGCCAGUGUUUGGAAGAAAAGACACUGAGGAGAGAAGUAUGCCACAAGGAUGAGCAGAAGCAGGCCCCGCAUCAUCUCAGCUCCCAGAGCAUGAGUGGGAGAGAAAAAGGAGAAAGCCGACUGCAUGUGAGGACACAGGGACAGUUGCGGCCCAAUUAGGAGUCUGGGAUAUGACCAGUCAAUAACAGGUCCUCACACGACUGAGUGGUGGGAGAGGGAGGAAACUUGAGAGCUUCACCAGUGAAUCUUGCAAGAGACAUGUAUUGGGCAAUUUCAUCUGGAAAUUUGAGUGAUGUCCUAAUUUAAAAAGAGGUGUUCUUCAAUUCACUUUGGAGGACGGGCAAGUUCAUGUUUCACAUCAUUGAUUCAGUUUUCCAAGGUAAAUCUUCUUUGACUCCACUGAAAAUGUUAUUUUUGUUAUUACAUUUUUGGUUUUCUUAUAAGUCCUCAAUAUCUUAUCUAUUUUUCUGUUUUCUAAUCACAAUGGUCUCCUCUUUAUGAUUUUCUGAAAAUUUUUCAAAUGAGUCAUAUAUUA